rnacentral:rRNA from 1 species
UACGUAGGGGGCUAGCGUUGUCCGGAAUCAUUGGGCGUAAAGCGCGUGUAGGCGGCCCGGUAAGUCCGCUGUGAAAGUCGGGGGCUCAACCCUCGGAUGCCGGUGGAUACUGUCGGGCUCGAGUACGGAAGAGGCGAGUGGAAUUCCUGGUGUAGCGGUGAAAUGCGCAGAUAUCAGGAGGAACACCAAUGGCGAAGGCAGAUCUCUGGGCCGUAACUGACGCUGAGGAGCGAAAGCGUGGGGAGCGAACAGG